CUCGAUCUCCUGUCUUCGUGAUCUGCCCGCCUCGACCUCCCAAAGUGCUGGGAUUACAAACGCAUGUGCUUUUGCAGGAAGGACGCUGGACUCUUGCACUAUAAGUUGAAAACAUCGCUUAUAAACAAUACAUCACAGCACACUUGCAGAGAGAGCACUGGUUCAUCAAAAUAAGAUAUGAUCAAGGUACAAAAGAGUUAAAGAAGCUAUUUAUUUUAAUGUUUCCUUGGAGAGCACACUUGUUAUUAUGCCUGCCCCAGCUUUGCCUUCCACCAUGAGUAAAAGCUUCCCAAGUCCUCCCCAGAAGCAGAUGCUGGCGCUAUGCUUCUGGUACAGCCUGAAAAACCUUGAGCCAAUUAAACCUCAGUGAGCUCAAGAUGUCUUUGUUGAAACAGAACCUCCCGAAGUUACAGUAUUGGUUUUGGGGCUCCACACAGAGAACACAUCACGGAAGCUAUAAUUGAGGAAGACAAAGCUGUCAGGACGACACCAAGAGAGUUAGAAAGCCCAAGAGUGGAGCAUUCUUCACCAUGAUUCCACCUGACACUUGGCUGAAAGCAUUUUGCACUAAUUUGCUUUGUGCCCGUUCAGACAAUCUAAAAAGAAAGGAUGGGGGGACAACAAGUGUCUAUUACACAGAAUAAACAGCCUCUGGCAAAUGAA
rnacentral:lncRNA from 1 species